rnacentral:rRNA from 1 species
GGUGAAAAGCACCCCGGAAGGGGAGUGAAAUAGAACCUGAAACCGUGUGCUUACAAGUAGUCAGAGCCCGUUAAUGGGUGAUGGCGUGCCUUUUGUAGAAUGAACCGGCGAGUUACGAUUUGAUGCAAGGUUAAGCAGUAAAUGUGGAGCCGUAGCGAAAGCGAGUCUGAAUAGGGCGUUUAGUAUUUGGUCGUAGACCCGAAACCAGGUGAUCUACCCUUGGUCAGGUUGAAGUUCAGGUAACACUGAAUGGAGGACCGAACCGACUUACGUUGAAAAGUGAGCGGAUGAACUGAGGGUAGCGGAGAAAUUCCAAUCGAACCUGGAGAUAGCUGGUUCUCUCCGAAAUAGCUUUAGGGCUAGCCUCAAGUGAUGAUUAUUGGAGGUAGAGCACUGUUUGGACGAGGGGCCCCUCUCGGGUUACCGAAUUCAGACAAACUCCGAAUGCCAAUUAAUUUAACUUGGGAGUCAGAACAUGGGUGAUAAGGUCCGUGUUCG